rnacentral:rRNA from 1 species
GACGAACGCUGGCGGCGUGCUUAACACAUGCAAGUCGAACGGAAAGGCCCUGCUUUUGUGGGGUGCUCGAGUGGCGAUCGGGUGAGUAACACGUGAGUAACCUGCCCUUGACUUUGGGGUAACUUCAGGAAACUGGGGCUACUACCGUAUCGGAGCUCCUGCUGCAUGGUGGGGGUUGGAAAUUUUCGGCGGUUGGGGAUGGAUUCGCGGCUUAUCAGCUUGUUGGUGGGGUAGUGGCUUACCAAGGCUUUGACGGGUAGCCGGCCUGAGAGGGUGACCGGCCACAUGGGGACUGAGAUACGGCGCAGACUCCUACGGGAGGCAGCAGUGGGGAAUAUUGCACAAUGGGCGGAAGCCUGAUGCAGCAACGCCGCGUGCGGGAUGACGGCCUUCGGGUUGUAAACCGCUGUCGCCUGUGACGAAGCGGGAGUGACGGUAAUGGGUAAAGAAGCACCGGCUAACUACGUG